CUUAUACUCUAGUAGAGAACUGUGAGUCUUGAGUCUCAAAGUCAUUGUCUCUUACUAGUGCAGAUGUUGCUCCUGGUAUUCAUUUUAUUUUCUCUGCUAAAAGGGAAUGCUGCUGCAGACGUGAUAACACCAUUAUUCACAGAAAAGGAUGUUUUGGAAGGAAAAGAUGUUACACUGAAAUGCAACUACACUGGCAAUGUUAAUAAUUUGCAGUGGUACCGUCAGUAUCCAGGAUCCAAACCUGAACAACUAAUAUUUUACUUAGAGACCAUCCCCAAACCAGAGCCCUCUCUCCGUCUGACCGCUGCAGCUGAUAAAGCCAUCAAACAUAUGAAUCUGACGAUCUCUUCUACAGAAGUGAAAGACUCUGCCAUGUACUACUGUGCCCUGGAGCCCACAGUGACAGGAAACACUACUGCACCCUACAAAAACUCAAUGAGAAAUUAUAUUCAAGGCAGAAGAUCAUGAUGCUCAAUUUAAAAACUUAACAUAAAGCAAGUUAUCAGCUCUAAAGUUUGAACAUAAUAGAACAGAAAACUCUAAUUACACCAUUUCAGUGAGUCCAAACCCUGACUAAAUACUUACCUACUUACUUAAAUACUACUUACUUAUACUUAAAAGGCAGUAUUCUCAGCAGAUGCAAGCUAUAUCAAGAAAUGGCUAUGCCAUAUUCCAAGGAUGAUUCUCAGCAUACAGUAUACUGGAUAUUAAAUUGCAUACCUAAUACACUUAUGCUGAUUUUUAAACAAUGAAGCUCUGUACCAAAUUUUGCACAGGGGAAGAACAUGAAGAGCUUUUGAAGUAUGCUGUAAAAGUAAUAUAUGAGAAUAAGUAGGCGGAGCUAGCCGAGGGGAAAUUCACUGCAAAACAGAAGAACAGAUGACACAAUGCCUCCAAAGACAGGAGAGAGCUAUCAGUGCUCUUGAGAAAUCUUCACAAAAACAAUGUUGUGUUUGUUCAUACUUUUCUAUUAUUUUGGUGAAACCACUGGGUAUGGAAUCAAAUCAGAUAACAACACCAUAGUGUUAAUGGAGGAUGAAAACAUUACGCUCUCAUGCACAUAUGAAGGCUCAAUAGACAGUCUGCACUGGUACCGACAAAAACCCGGAUCAAGAUCAGAGUUUCUAAUAAUGAUGAAGCUUCUGAAUAUGUGACAAAAGCCAAUCCACCUCAUCCACGUCUGUCAAUCAAACUUCAUAAAGCACAAAAACGUGUUCAUCUGAAAAUCUACUCUGCAGCAGUUACGGAUUCUGCUGUGUAUUACUGUGCUUUGAGGCCCACAGUAACAGGAAACGCACA